ensembl:sense_overlapping 9230112E08Rik RIKEN cDNA 9230112E08 gene
CACAGAGGUCAGCCCCUUUCCUUUGAAACCAUUAAGACAAUAUCCUGAGUGUCUGCUCCCCCAUCAUCACAUUUGCCCACUUAAACUGUUACUCCCAUGUUAGUAUCCCCUACUGUCAGGCUGUGGUCAGGAGGGAGGUGAGCAGGCUCCAGGGCACUCUGUUCUGACUUAGUUUGCAGGGGUUAUGACGUGGAUCUCAGAGCGUGGGGAUGGGUGUACACAUGCCAUUGCUAGGUACAGGGAAAGCAGAACCGCGGGGCUGGUACACAGGCUGCCAGGGCAUUUCUAGGUAGCAGGAGGUAGAAAGUACAGGGUAGUCCACCUGAGACAGACAGUGCACAGAGGAGUACUGAGCUGUGCGUGGAUACACACAGGUAUUUCAAGAUUCCUGUGAGCUACGGCCACAGAUGCAUGUACUCAGAGAUUACAACUUUAUCUGACUGUGGGAGGAUCUAUAGGGACUGUGACCCUAGAUCUCACAUCAUGGUUUGGAGGCCAUGUGUAAUUGAAGACCAAACUGACGCUGCACUGGACCCAUGGGAACCCGAGUGGCUGGGUCAUGAGCCAUGCCUUCAAGUGGGAGUAGGGGGCCUUUUAUCCCUGGCCUGGUCUACUGGGCCACCUUGCCGAGAGUUACAGGGUGAGACCGUGGGGUUUUCAAGAUGGAUCACGAGAGCUUCAUUGAGAGCAGAGCUUUCUUUCCCAACCUACACAGGCAGGAGCAGCUCAGGAAGGUGUAAGUAGUGUGGGCAUGGGCCUGCUCCUAGUUCUUGUGUGAACAGGAAGGAAGGGAAUGGAGGUUGCAGACCCCAGCCCCAGCCCCUAGUGAUUGGUAGUCUAAGUGGUCCUUCCCCCAAAUAGGCUGGUCAGAGGCUCUCAAUGCCCAGCACCCAGGGCUACACACACUGGCCUUUAUUCUCAAGAAGCCUCUCUGUGGAACAGACUUGCAGUCCCCCACUACCCCUGGUGGGAUUCCCAGAAGAGUGUGAAAUGGGUCCUUUGUGCUGGGACCACCAUCUCAUUCUUGAAAACAAGCCCCAAGCAGCAGAAGAUAAAAGGGAGGGAAAAAGACUUUAGGGCGGGCCUAGUGGUGACAUCAGGGAAGGGAACCUUUUCUAAGUUCCAGCUUUGUCACAGCAAGACCAAGAGGCAUUGGAAAGUGAGGAACACUAUCCUUGGAGCAGGAGGUUAGUGACUCAUUUAUGGCCCUGGGGCUGGGUGCAUGAGGGGGCUACCAGAGAUUCCACUGGGGAGAGACUGGGAAAAGUGAUAAGGCCCCACAAGUUGAGGGACUCAAGUGCAGCCUGGAGACCUGAGCAUCUUCUCCAGAUCCUAUGAGGGUUUCAGAAGACACUUGGAACUAAGGACAUACAAAAAGGGCUGGUGGGCAGCAGAGGGGAACUCAUGUCCAUCAGCUGUGACCACCCUGGCCAUGAAGUAGGGAGGGGUCUGGCUUCAGAGUGAGUCCAGAAGGCAGGGCCAUUUCUGUGGCACUUCAUAGGCAGAUGGAGCAGUGGUCCAUAGCACUAACACCUUAGUUUAAAUUUUCUGGAUGGAUGCAUAUAUACACUCUAGAGCAGUGGUCCUCAAUUUUCCUAAUGCUGUGGCCCUUUAAAAAGUUCCGCAUGUUGUGGUGACCCUCAAUCAUGAAAUUAUUUUUGUUGCUACCUCAUAACUAUGGUUUUACUACUAUUAUGAAUCAUAAUGUAAAAAUCUGUGUUUUCCAAUAAUCUUUGGUAAUCCCUUUGAAAGGGUCAUUAGAUGUCCCCACCCCCACCCCAACACACACAAAGGGGUCACAACUCCCAGGUUAACUACUGUUCUAGGGUGUAUCAGCCUGUAGCCUUCCUACUGGCCUUGGCUCUGCUCACAGAGCUGGCUUCUCUGCAGAGGUAACCUUGAGUAUACAAGAAAUGCAGGUGCUUUGUUUAGGGCUGGGGUGGGGAUCCUGGGUUCCUCGGGCUCACAAAUUCCAGGCUGGGUCAUGCUUGUGUUCCCACCUCCAAAGUGCUACCCUGAGGUGGUGGACUCUACCCUAUUGGCCUCUCUUUCAAGCAUUAUCUCCCAACUUCAGAGAGGACUCAAGGGUUCCCCAAUACUUUUCAUCCCUACUGUGCCUACUUCUGCUAUAAUCCGAAUUUGGCCUCACAUGUCCCUUCUGCUUGAGAGCAAGCCACCGAAUGUGAUGACCUUGAUGGUAUGAAUCUAUCCAAACCAAUCUCAGACACCAUGUGGGGCUGCUGGGGCCUCACGGUUUUGUUACUCUGGUGAUCCCCACUGUGUCUAUCAACUGUGGGUGUGAAUACCAGAAGGGACAUGGGCAGUGCUCUCCCNNNCAGGGAGAAUUGGCUCCCUGCAGAGGGUACUUGAGCACACUAGGAGAUUUUGUAGCUGAGGGUCCUUUGUUCAGUGGGAUACCUCAGUAUGGCUUCAGUCUUCAUCAACAUCUCCAUAAUGACAAGUUGUAGGCCUCUGGGCUUCGCUUCUGUCUGUAGGGACAUCCUGCUGGUCCAUGGGAAUGGAUGCAGAACAAGCUUUCUUGUCAGGGAGGCGGGUAAGACAGUUCCUUAAGUGGUGAAGGGCUUUGACCUCUCCUCCCACAGGCUGUGCAGUAUGAGCCUCCAAGGCUCCUACCUCCACUUCUGCCUCUGGAUGUUCUUGGGCACCACGUUGGCACUGAGGCAGGGACAAGGUAAGGAGGCAAUGCCCCCACUGCCUGCAAGAGGAACUCUGCUACAAGCCUCUGACUUGCCAUCACAGGCAUUUUCCUGUAGUAAAUGCCAGCCUGAGAGCUGUUAUAGCAACAGGCAAGCUAGUAGAGCAGAGAAGAGAACCCUCGCUCUUGCCUUGACCUUGUGGUACUUCAGCCUUGCUUAGGGAGGCUUUUUUGCCUAAGUUAUUUCAAGAUUACUGGCAUUCUCCAAAUUUGAUCCUUUAUCUAUGCCUUGCAUAGUUAUUCUGUAAAAUUUUCAAUCUGUUUUCAUAUACUACACACAUGGCUUAAUAGAGAUUAGUAUUCCUGCCUCUUCCCUCCCAAGGAAAAAAGCCUUCCUACUCUGUCUUAGAAGGGUAGUUUAUCUCUCUUCUCUGUACAUGUCUUGGGGCAAGUGUUUCCAUCUGGUCCCUUCCUAUUUGGCUAUUCCAGGCAGGCUCCCCUGGGAAAGUCUCUCGUAGUAUUUCUAUGACCUCCAAGGGAUGUGCACAGGACUUGGGGAAGAUCUGUGUUGCAGACUCCUUCCUGUGGAGCUGCUGGCUCAGGUGGGUCCCUGGAAGGCAUGUUUCUGUGUGCCCAUAGCCUUCACACUCAUGACUACAUCUAGCUCCCAGGAACAAUAUAGUAUAUUCCUCAUGA